UACGGAGGGUGCGAGCGUUGUCCGGAAUCACUGGGCGUAAAGGGCGCGUAGGCGGCCUGAUAAGUAGGGGGUGAAAUCCUGCGGCUUAACCGCAGGGCUGCCUUCUAAACUGUCAGGCUAGAGCACAGUAGAGGCAGGUGGAAUUCCCGGUGUAGCGGUGGAAUGCGUAGAGAUCGGGAGGAACACCGAUAGCGAAGGCAGCUCGCUGGGACGGUACUGACGCUGAGGCGCGAAAGCGUGGGGAGCGAAUGGG
rnacentral:rRNA from 1 species